GGGUUGUGAGGUUAAGCGACUAAGCGUACACGGUGGAUGCCCUGGCAGUCAGAGGCGAUGAAGGACGUGCUAAUCUGCGAUAAGCGCCGGUAAGGUGAUAUGAACCGUUAUAACCGGCGAUUUCCGAAUGGGGAAACCCAGUGUGACUCGUCACACUAUCAUUAACUGAAUCCAUAGGUUAAUGAGGCGAACCGGGGGAACUGAAACAUCUAAGUACCCCGAGGAAAAGAAAUCAACCGAGAUUCCCCCAGUAGCGGCGAGCGAACGGGGAGGAGCCCAGAGCCUGAAUCAGCAUGUGUGUUAGUGGAAGCGUCUGGAAAGGCGCGCGAUACAGGGUGACAGCCCCGUACACAAAAGCGCAUAUGCUGUGAGCUCGAUGAGUAGGGCGGGACACGUGGUAUCCUGUCUGAAUAUGGGGGGACCAUCCUCCAAGGCUAAAUACUCCUGACUGACCGAUAGUGAACCAGUACCGUGAGGGAAAGGCGAAAAGAACCCCGGCGAGGGGAGUGAAAAAGAACCUGAAACCGUGUACGUACAAGCAGUGGGAGCCCCACCACUAAGCCAGUGGUGAACUCCACAUACGCAUCCUUUGCUGAGGAUACGGUUAACGGAGCGAAAGCGACGUUCAACCGCAAAAGAAGCAGAGGGGGCUUAGUGGUGGGGUGACUGCGUACCUUUUGUAUAAUGGGUCAGCGACUUAUAUUCUGUAGCA
rnacentral:rRNA from 1 species